rnacentral:rRNA from 1 species
CAGCAGCCGCGGGAAUACCGAGGGUGCGAGCGUUAAUCGGAUUUACUGGGCGUAAAGCGUGCGUAGGCGGCUUCUUAAGUCGGAUGUGAAAUCCCUGAGCUUAACUUAGGAAUUGCAUUCGAUACUGGGAAGCUAGAGUAUGGGAGAGGAUGGUAGAAUUCCAGGUGUAGCGGUGAAAUGCGUAGAGAUCUGGAGGAAUACCGAUGGCGAAGGCAGCCAUCUGGCCUAAUACUGACGCUGAGGUACGAAAGCAUGGGGAGCAAACAGGAUUAGAUACCCCAGUAGUCCUGUCUCUUAUACA